ACCCUGAAGAACAUUUUAUCUGC
rnacentral:piRNA from 1 species